rnacentral:rRNA from 1 species
UACGAAGGGGGCAAGCGUUGUUCGGAAUUACUGGGCGUAAAGGGCGCGUAGGCGGCUUAUCAAGUCAGGCGUGAAAUUCCCGGGCUCAACCUGGGGGCUGCGCUUGAUACUGAUUGGCUUGAAUUCGGGGAGGAGGGAUGCAGAAUUCCAGGUGUAGCGGUAGAAAUGCGUAGAUAUCUGGAGGAAUACCGGUGGCGAAGGCGGCAUCCUGGACCGAGAUUGACACUGAUGAGCGAAAGCUAGGGGAGCAAACGGG